AUUGAACGCUGGCGGCAUGCCUUACACAUGCAAGUCGAACGGCAGCACGGGAGCAAUCCUGGUGGCGAGUGGCGAACGGGUGAGUAAUAUAUCGGAACGUGCCCAGUCGUGGGGAUAACGUAGCGAAAGCUACGCUAAUACCGCAUACGAUCUAUGGAUGAAAGCGGGGGAUCGCAAGACCUCGCGCGAUUGGAGCGGCCGAUAUCAGAUUAGGUAGUUGGUGAGGUAAAGGCUCACCAAGCCGACGAUCUGUAGCUGGUCUGAGAGGACGACCAGCCACACUGGGACUGAGACACGGCCCAGACUCCUACGGGAGGCAGCAGUGGGGAAUUUUGGACAAUGGGCGCAAGCCUGAUCCAGCAAUGCCGCGUGCAGGAUGAAGGCCUUCGGUUGGU
rnacentral:rRNA from 1 species